CAGUCGCCGCGGGAAUACGGAGGGGGCUAGCGUUGUUCGGAAUUACUGGGCGUAAAGCGCACGUAGGCGGCUUGGUAAGUUAGAGGUGAAAGCCCGGAGCUCAACUCCGGAAUUGCCUUUAAGACUGCCGAGCUAGUAGGUGAGAGAGGUAAGUGGAAUUCCGAGUGUGGAGGUGAAAUUCGUAGAUAUUCGGAAGAACACCAGUGGCGAAGGCGGCUUACUGGCUCAUUCUAGGCGCUGAGGUGCGAAAGCGUGGGGAGCAAACAGGAUUAGAUACCCCUGUAGUCCCUGUCUCUUAUAC
rnacentral:rRNA from 1 species